UCACUUGCGGAUGGGCCCGCGGCGCAUUAGCUAGUUGGUGAGGUAACGGCUCACCAAGGCGACGAUGCGUAGCCGGCCUGAGAGGGUGACCGGCCACACUGGGACUGAGACACGGCCCAG
rnacentral:rRNA from 1 species